rnacentral:lncRNA from 12 species
AAAUUAUUUAAUUAUCAUUCUCAAAUGAUUUUAUGGUAAUGUCUGAGUCUGUUGGGAGGGUGGGGGCUGUUGUAACAGAAUACCUGGAGAGCUUAUAAAUAACAUUUAAUUUUCACAGUUGCAGUGGCCGGAAGUCCAAGAUCAAGACGUCUGCAAAUCUGGCGCAUCUGGUGUGGGCUUUCAUCCCACCUUAUAAAUAAAUGGCCGUCUCUCUACACAAACAUAGGGUGCAUAAUAGAAUAAGGCUCAAAUCUGCUCCUGCUCUUCACGGCAUCUUGGGCAAAUCAGAAGUCAAAAUCAUACCUUUGUUGAAAAAAGUCGUGGGUCACUACUGACCCUUCUUCCCGUAUUCCCUAGGGGACAGUAACAGGAACACCGAUGACCAUCCAUCUGCAGGCGGGCCUACAGGACUCAAGUGGAUGCUUCACUGCUCGACUUUCAAAGGACACACUGUGAUCUUUCCCCCCCUCAUUUCGACUUUCUUAACAUCAACAUAUUGCUAAUCUCCUUCACACAGUCUCUCAUUUUGACUUCGCUGGCAUGACAAAACGGUGGGGGGUAGUGAACACUACAGUAAUGUUUUAUGAAGAACUAUCACGUAAAAAUUAAACGA